rnacentral:rRNA from 1 species
UACGAAGGGGGCUAGCGUUGCUCGGAAUCACUGGGCGUAAAGCGCACGUAGGCGGAUUGUUAAGUCAGGGGUGAAAUCCCGGGGCUCAACCCCGGAACUGCCCUUGAAACUGGAGAGCUAGAAUCUUGGAGAGGCGAGUGGAAUUCCGAGUGUAGAGGUGAAAUUCGUAGAUAUUCGGAAGAACACCAGUGGCGAAGGCGACUCGCUGGACAAGUAUUGACGCUGAGGUGCGAAAGCGUGGGGAGCAAACAGG